rnacentral:lncRNA from 1 species
CUGGCGUAUUUACAAUAUUUAGUCCUGGUAUCUAUGAUGAGUUUAUCUACUACCACUAGGUCGAUGCCACUGCUGGAAGAGAUUUAUUUCCCUGAGGGUAUCACCAGCCCAGUAGUCAGCACUUUUGUGCUGGCAUGAAUUAUCAUUGAUAUGGUUACAUUUAUAAAUUAACUGUUUACAAACAUUUGUAAUUGUUUUAAUACUAAGGCUUUUCUACCUCAAGCAUAGAUUUACCUUAGCUGUAUUUGGCAAAACUUUUAUGCAUUUUGUUCCUCAAUGCUCUUCAACUUCGUACUUUAUUUGGCAUUUUAAACUUUUUUGGAUCGAGCGUCACUGAUGAGUCUCUUUCAGACGAAACACGUGUCUGGCAUAUUUACAAAAUUUAGUCCUGGUAUCUAUGAUGACUCUAUUUACUACCACUGGGUCGAUGCCACUGCUGUUGGAGAUUUAUUUCCCCGAGUGUAUCACCAGCCCAGUAGUCAGCACAAAAGUGGAAUUAUCAUUGCUAUGGUUACAUUUAUAAAUUAACUGUUUACAAAAAUUUAUUUUUUAAAUACUAAGGCUUUUCUACCUCAAGCAUAGAUUACCUUAGCUGUUUUUGGCAAAACUUUUAGGAAUUUUGUUCCUCAAUGCUCUUCAACUUCGGUCUUUAUUUGGCAUUUUGAACUUUUUUGGAUUCCAGAGUCACUGAUGAGUCUUUUUUUAGACGAAAUGCGCGUCUGGCGUAUUAACAAAAUUUAGACCUGGUAUCUAUGAUGAGUUUAUUGUAGACGAAAUGUUUGUCUAGCAUAUUUUUAGCCUCGUAUCUUUGACGAAUUUAUUUUCAACUUGACCGAGAACAUAUAAUUUUCAACGUCUUAUCACAGCAGGUUGUUAAAUUAACAUUUGAAUACCACAACCAUGAACUUCAACCUACAUUUUUGUAACUGAAAAUAUUCAAACAGGCCAUACAUAAUAGCAAUAUAUAUAGGUGUAUAUUUGCAUUCUAAAUUAAUAAGAAUUGGCUGAAUGGUAAUAUCAAUAAAAACCAAAAGUCACUCUUUUGGAGAUAGAUCCUUAUUGUUCCUAACAAAACAUCAAAGUCUCAUUGAUGACAUAAGGUAAAUAAACACUUUUUACAUGCUACUGAUUCAUUGUGAAGAAAACAAUGUCAAAGAAGAGGCGAGUGUUUGUUCUAUUCAUCUGUAUUAUGCCUGACAAAUGAAGGAGUAAGUACAAGUCAUUAUUUGCUCAUUUUAAAAGAGGCCUUUUGCUACCACGUUUCAUAUCAGCACUUACUUUAGUAUAAAUGUGUAGUAGGGAUAAGCCUAUGAAAUAUGUCACCACUUCAAGCAUAAUGAUAUAUAAGGUUGAGAAACUGAGGUGAAAUAUAUGACAACGUUUAUUGAUUCAUAACACAUUUCACAUCAGCACUUAGUAAUGUGUGGUAUGGAUAUGCUUAAAGCCAAUGGAAUAGGUCACCAUUUCAAAAAUAAUUAUAAGGUUGAGAAACAGGUGAUAUAUACAUGUUUGACAACGCUUAUUAAUUCAUAACACAUUUCACAUAAGCACUUACUUUAGUUAUGUGUGGUAGGGAUAAGCCAGCCCACUGAUAUAGGUCAACAUUUCAAGCAUAAUGAUAUAUGAUAUGGUUCAGAAACUCAGGUGAAAUAUAUGACAACUCUUAUUUUAUUGAUGAAACAAAUCAGAUGUCCAGUUUUCCAUUCGAUUAUGCAAAUUAGCUUGUUACUUAAAAAUAGACUUUAAAAAAUUCUGAGUUCUAAAUGUAUUUUCUGGUUUCCAUUGAACAUAAAAUCUUAAAAAUCUUCAGUAGUUGGGUAAGUUUCAACCACCCUCCUGGACGAUUUUUCAAAUUUUGCAUGUUUUUCUGUGAGCCUGGUAAAAAGCAUGAUAAUGAUAUCUACAUGUAUAUUUGGUCAAAAAUAGAACAAGGUAUGUAUUGUUGCUUUUUGAAAUAUAUGAAAAGGUUGGGAAAAUGGUUCAAGCAGCUACUCACCCUACCAUAAAAAGGUUGAAGUGGUGUCAUAUGCUAAUAUCAAUUACGAAGGUAUGGGACAUGUAGCUACUAAUUAAUCAUUUAAACAACAGUGGGCUGUUUAUCAAAGCCUGUUUCAAAUUUUAAGGUCAAAGUUGUAAAUGAGGUAUAAUAGACAUUGAUAUAAUAGAUUUUAUUCAAUAAGAGACUUAUGAAAACUGUCUGCUUAAACAUUUUACAAACAUUU